CCUACGGGGGGCUGCAGUGAGGAAUAUUGGUCAAUGGACGAGAGUCUGAACCAGCCAAGUAGCGUGAAGGAUGACUGCCCUAUGCGUUGUAAACUUCUUUUAUAUGGGAAUAAAAUGUUCCACGUGUGGGAUUUUGUAUGUACCAUAUGAAUAAGCAUCGGCUAACUCCGUGCCAGCAGCCGCGGUAAUACGGAGGAUCCGAGCGUUAUCCGGAUUUAUUGGGUUUAAAGGGGGCGUAGGUGGAUCGUUAAGUCAGUUGUGAAAGUCUGGGGCUCAACCGUAAAAGUGCAGUUGAAACUGGCAGUGUAGAGUAGAGUAGAGGUGGGCGGAAUUCGUGGUGUAGCGGUGAAAUGCUUAGAUAUCACGAAGAACUCCGAUUGCGAAGGCAGCUCACUGGACUGCAACUGACGCUGAGGCACGAAAGUGUGGGUAUCAAACAGGAUUAGAUACCCUUGUAGUC
rnacentral:rRNA from 1 species